rnacentral:misc_RNA from 1 species
UUCCCGCUGUUCAAGUCACAGAUACAAAUCUGCCGCGGCGCCGGCAUCUCGUCCACACGCGCGGGCCCGCCUGUGCUAUGCCGUGAUAAUGUGAGAAAGAGAGAAAUGAUGACCUCGUGGGUGUCCGACGCGCGCCUCCAGUUUGUCCCCUGCGCGCGGCGUCACACCCGCGCGCACGCACGACGGAGAGAGCAACGGACGGUGCCGAGCCGCCCACAGCGCCACUGGCACCACAUACUGGGGCGUCCCCCCUGCGCCGAACCGCUGUCGGAAAGGCGCGGGCAGUCCCACCCUCCACGCACGCGCACUGGCACGCGUCGGCGCACCUGCCGGCACGCAAGCACACACGCACACGUACACGCGCGCGCAUCGACGCGCUCACAGGCGUCCGCGCCGCUAUGCACCAGCACCAGCAGCGUCUGCUCGGGCACGCACAUACGCACGCCACCGCCACCACCGCGGCGGGCGACGCCGAGGGGCCCACAAGCAAACCCGUUGUCCUCCCUCUUCCUUGUCGCCCCGCAGCCGCACUCGAUACGCUCCGCACCCGCACCCUAGCGGGCGUGCCGGAGCGCCACCGCGCACACGACCGACUGCUCCACUGGGGCGCCGCGCUCGCACGCGUCUCGCGUGUGGCGCGGGUCCUGAGCCAAAGUCCCUCGCCCACACAAAGCAGGCAGCAAGUGCCGGGUGCCGGGGGAAACCCCCAGAGAGCUACAAGCGCCACGAGGCACCGCCGUACACACCCGCUGCUCGCAUGUCGGCCAGCGGGGCCAUCGGCUGCCGCGGUACGGCUCCCCUCUCAGCGAAGGGUGGGGCGCCUGCAUCUCCGCGCCGGCACUCGUGCUGGUGUGCGGGUGAUCCCGCGGCAGAAGCUAUCGGUGCGCGCUGCUCCGUGCCGGCAGCACCUCGCGUGCUUCCGCGUGCUGUGCAGCGCGUGCCAUGACGGGCGGCGCACCCGCCGUGCAUCCACCCCCUACGCCGCGUGCGCGCACGUCUCCGGGCGUGUGUGCGUGCGCAGUCGGAUGCGAAUGAGUCGCGCACCUGCGCGUCCCGCGGCGGGGCCUGUGCCACGUGCGCAGGCGUGCUGCGCCAGUCUCCCCACUCGGUGGUUUCUGUGCGACGUUGGGCAACACACGCGACGGGGGGGAGAGGCACACGCCCGCCCCCCCCCCGCCGCAUAACACCGUACAGUCAUGAGCAGCUGGCGGACGGGCAGGCCGCUUCGGCGGCCGCCACGCCAUGCAGAAGAGGGCUUAUCGCACACACGAACCCGUCACGACGACGCGGUGGUGCGCGCUGCCGCAGCCGCUCCGCCACGCGUGAUGCGCGGUGCGCUGUGUGUGCCGUGCCGUGUCGUGUGCUGGGCGCUGCUGUGGUGUGUGGCGUGUGCGGGCCGCCUGUGCUCCGCGCGGCGACCGUGUACGUGUGUGUCUGCGUCCGCUGUGUGCCAGCGGUGUGCUGGCGUCCGCCACUCUCGUGCGUGGCGCCGUGGCUGCGCACGCGCGCCUGCUCCGCAGGCCCGUGUGUGCCGCAGCAAUGCCUGUGCGGCGGUGUCUUUCCAAUCCCGAAGCACCGCGAGGCAGCUUGGACACUCCCCCACCUCUGCGUGUCAACGCAGCUGAUCUCUCCCGUGCCGUUCUAGAUGUUUUGCCUCUUCUCGCUUCUCUGUAUCCCCUCCGCUUCCCCGACGCUCAAAGUGUUACUACUGGGGCGCCGGCAGUCUUGAUGUCGGGACUAGCGUGGUGGGCAACGAGCUUCCGAAUGAUGCAUUGGUUGUGAUCCAUGGCAGUGGCGUGCUCUCCUCUUUUCAUUCUGCUCUCCUUUCCUAGCUACCUCCUCUCCACCCCCUUCCGUCAG